GGGCUGGUAGUUCAGUGGUAGAACAAAUGAUUAGUACCCAUAAGAUGGGAGUUCGAUUCUCCUCCAGUCCACAA
rnacentral:tRNA from 1 species